ensembl:lncRNA
CACAUUUUAUUUGACAGAAGAACUCACACUCGUCUCCCAAUCUUUCAUCAGGAGUAAAAAUGAUUUUCAAAAAAUAAAUGUGUUUAAAUAAAAUAGAUGCAUCUAGGAAUCAGUGAAACAGAGGUGUUUGGAUGUCAUUUUUGGCCAAAUCUGUCAUUCGCUGAAACCAAAGACAACAGUAAGCAUGAGCAUGAAUUUGGAUUAUUUGAUAUUGCACAUGAUCACAACCUCAUCUGAAGUUUGUGUAACAAAGUAAAGACAAAUAUAACAUUCUGAUCAUGACUGCUGAUAAAUCAUUCUAACUUGGCACAAAUCCAAAGUGAAGGCUGUCCGUUUCUUUGUUUCUUUAGUCUCAAUAAGAAGCAUCGGUUACUACGGCAGACAUCUGAAAUGGCUCUACAGGCCAUUGGAUGUUGCUGGAUUUGUGACACAUUCCGAUUUUGAUGAUAUCAUUCCAGAAAUCAAUACAAUGUUCCCGACACCCGAAUUGGGGUAGAAUAGGUUUCAGAGAUCAAAAACGAGGAGCUGAAGACAUUCAACUAAAGACAUUAACUGACAGCGACCAGAAGGGAUGAAAAUUGCUUGACAAAUGUCUCGGAUCCUGUGAGUUGCCUCAGGCAUCACUCUCCCUCGGGAUCGGCUGAUUGUGGGACGGGCUAUUGACGCUAUGGGAGUUGGGGAAAAAAUAAGGUAUUUUUGGGAUGACAGCAAUCAGAGGGCUGGAUAGAGGGCUGGACAGGGUGCCCUCGCCUCCGAAAGGUAUGGAAAUGAUGACGUCGUCUUGGUCCCAAACGUGGAAGGCAUUCGGAUGGGAGUGGUUGAGCACAGGCUGCAUGUGCAGCGGACUGACUUUCUCCACCUCUCCAUCUUUUUUCAGGUCGUCCUCGUAUGGGCCCAGUAAACAGUCUGUGUUCACGGAUAGAAGACCUGUAAUGUCCAGCAUGAGGUCUUUGAUGAGGUGUCCAACGAUAGCGUAAGCCACAGCAACUACAACCAGAGCGGCCACGAGGAGGUAGAGGAUGGAUUUGGGGAGCUGGAUGACGUCCCUAGCGGGAGGCUUGUACUCCUUGUACAGAGGCUCUAGAUUAUGAACCAAGAACUGGAAUGAACGUCCACCUUCGUUUGUGAUAUUAAAGUUGUCCAUAUUCCCAGAUUAGGAGCCUCCACA